rnacentral:lncRNA from 1 species
ACCAUCUCUCUCUCCUUCAAUUAUUUGCAAGACUUCAAAUGUCUAAAAUAUCGAAGGGUCUUCUAUUGAACAAUCUCCGACUAAUGGACUUUCUUUUGGCUUCAGGUCAUUCUCCAUAUCAAUUUUCGAUCAACCACCUCCAGCAUUGCUAGACACCAAUCUCGAUCAGAGAUUUGUGGCAACACUAUCCUUAAUCUUUCC